CACUCCUGCGGGAGGCAGCAGUGGGGAAUAUUGGACAAUGGGCGCAAGCCUGAUCCAGCCAUGCCGCGUGAGUGAUGAAGGCCCUAGGGUUGUAAAGCUCUUUCACCGGUGAAGAUAAUGACGGUAACCGGAGAAGAAGCCCCGGCUAACUUCGUGCCAGCAGCCGCGGUAAUACGAAGGGGGCUAGCGUUGUUCGGAUUUACUGGGCGUAAAGCGCACGUAGGCGGACUAUUAAGUCAGGGGUGAAAUCCCGGGGCUCAACCCCGGAACUGCCUUUGAUACUGGUAGUCUUGAGUUCGAGAGAGGUGAGUGGAAUUCCGAGUGUAGAGGUGAAAUUCGUAGAUAUUCGGAGGAACACCAGUGGCGAAGGCGGCUCACUGGCUCGAUACUGACGCUGAGGUGCGAAAGCGUGGGGGGCAAACAGGAUUAGAAACCCUUGUAGUCCCAUG
rnacentral:rRNA from 1 species